rnacentral:pre_miRNA from 1 species
GAAGGACGACGACGAUGAUGGUGGUGAUGAUGAUGAUGAUCAUCAUCAUCAUCAUCACCAUCAUCAUCAUCAUGA